rnacentral:tRNA from 1 species
GCCGGAGUGGCGGAAUGGUAGACGCGGCAGCCUCAAAAGCUGUUGAGGGCAACCUCAUGGGGGUUCAAGUCCCUUCUCCGGCACAA